GAAUCAAAUGCUAACACUCCAAUACAUGAUUUUUUCUCUACCUUCACCUUCCUACGAGUUCCUCAAAGUAUACCAAAUUCACUCCAAUACAGCAAUUAGCUCUAUGGACAUUUGGUUUUCUUGUGUAUGACAUUCGAAAACAACCUUAAUUUGCAUAUAGAGGAAUAUAUGAAACCAAAAAAAUCUGCAGCGUUCCUUGGGUAGAUAUAAGCAAAGUUUAUUUCUUUCAAGAGUAGUAUAAUUGCAUAUCACAAUAUUUAUUCUAAGUCAUUGCUUCCCUGUUAGGAUCAAAGCUAGCAAUACCAUCAACAUAAGCUGCCAGAUGAGUACUAAAUGAAUCUCACGGCCACUCCCACAAAUAUAUUAUAUGGUAAAUGUUUGUUGAACUCAGAAAAUGAUAUAACUUGGUAGGUAUAGUCCUCCAUGUCAUUGGCCACAUCAGGAGGACGAGGAGCAAGAGAACUGCUUGCAGUUGUCCCAAACUCCUUAACCAAAAAGUUCUUCCCGAAAAGUUCUUCGAAUUGCAGAUAAAACUUAUCCCGUGUAUUUCUGAUUGCAAUAGUUCAUGGUCGAAUCAAAUACGGAUGAUGAUGAGGAACAUGACAAGGAAGCCGCUCCCCGAGACUAUAGGAAAGACUAUGGAGAAGAAGAGAAGCAGGAUUGCAACUAAUGCUACAGAAAACGGAGUUAGGAAACCAGAGAAGCUAUAUUUCUUCGGUGACUAGAAGAAGCUGAAAAUAACUCUUUCGAUUUGCAUAGUCGCAUAUAUUUUCUCAGCUGAUGGUUGUGAUUUUCUAAUGAUGUACUGAAGGGUCAUUUGCUUAGUUCGAAUCUCGACCGUUGACUUUCGUUGUUUAUGUAUUUUGAAAUACUUGGUAUAAUUGAUUAUGGCAACAGAGCCUUGAUGGUAACCAUUGUCAAAAUCCAUAUAAAACAUUUUCAUGGCUGAGACUGGAAACCAAGAAUGGUUAGAUUUAUGAGUUUAACUACAAGUUUUUUUGA